CAGAAGGUAGUUUAACGUUAGAAUCCUAGCUUUGGGAGUUAGGGGCGGGAGUUAAAAUCUCCCCUUUCUGA
rnacentral:tRNA from 1 species